AGGGAAUCUUCCGCAAUGGACGAAAGUCUGACGGAGCAACGCCGCGUGAGCGAUGAAGGUCUUCGGAUCGUAAAGCUCUGUUGUUAGGGAAGAACAAGUGCGAGAGUAACUGCUCGUACCUUGACGGUACCUAACCAGAAAGCCACGGCUAACUACGUGCCAGCAGCCGCGGUAAUACGUAGGUGGCAAGCGUUGUCCGGAAUUAUUGGGCGUAAAGGGCUCGCAGGCGGUCUUCUAGGUCUGAUGUGAAAUCUUGCGGCUUAACCGUAAGCGGUCAUUGGAAACUGGAGGACUUGAGUACAGAAGAGGAGAGUGGAAUUCCGCGUGUAGCGGUGAAAUGCGUAGAGAUGUGGAGGAACACCAGUGGCGAAGACGACUCUCUGGUCUGUAACUGACGCUGAGGAGCGAAAGCGUGGGGAGCAAAC
rnacentral:rRNA from 1 species